rnacentral:tRNA from 1 species
GGAGCGGCCAUGGCUUACUGGUAACGGUGUUCGCUCAGUAAGCGAAUGGUCCUGGGUUCGAUUCCCAUCUGCUCCC